rnacentral:piRNA from 1 species
UUCUGAGCUUUAAGGCAGAAAUAAGGUUGU